ensembl:piRNA 21ur-4327 ncRNA
UAAACGACUUGUAUGAACAAU